rnacentral:rRNA from 1 species
UACGUAGGGUGCGAGCGUUGUCCGGAAUUAUUGGGCGUAAAGAGCUCGUAGGCGGUGUGUCACGUCGGCCGUGAAAACCUGCAGCUUAACUGUGGCGUGCGGUCGAUACGGGCAUCACUGGAGUUCGGCAGGGGAGACUGGAAUUCCUGGUGUAGCGGUGAAAUGCGCAGAUAUCAGGAGGAACACCGGUGGCGAAGGCGGGUCUCUGGGCCGAUACUGACGCUGAGGAGCGAAAGCGUGGGAGCAAACAGG